rnacentral:rRNA from 1 species
UACGGGGGGGGCAAGCGUUGUUCGGAAUUACUGGGCGUAAAGGGUGCGUAGGUGGCAGGGUAAGUUGGAUGUGAAAUCCCGGGGCUCAACCCCGGAACUGCAUUCAAUACUGCCCUGCUAGAGUACUGGAGAGGAGAUUGGAAUUCAUGGUGUAGCAGUGAAAUGCGUAGAUAUCAUGAGGAAGACCAGUGGCGAAGGCGGAUCUCUGGACAGUUACUGACACUGAGGCACGAAGGCCAGGGGAGCAAACGGG